CAGGAUUGAGUUCGUUCAGAUUGCUAGACAUUGCUUUACCUACAGAUUCAUCUUACUGCUCUCAACCCUUUCUUUCCUUUUGUUUGUUUUUGUGGAGACAUAGCUCUGGCUGGUCUGGAAAUCUAUGUAGACCAGGCAGGCUUCGAAGUCAUAGAGAUCCCCCGUCUCUCCCUCCUGAGAGCUGGGAUUAAAGAUCUGUGCCACCUCAAUCCUUCCAGUCCUUUCCUUUUUUACCUCUUUAGUCCAAAUUUGGGAGCACAUGCAUAUUAUCUCAGCACCCAAGAAGUUGGGAUAAGCAAGAAAAAAAUCGUCAGAACUAGGAGAUUAAGAUCUGCUAGGACAGGGAAAUGAAAUUCUAUUUUGAAUAAAAGAAAUGAAA
rnacentral:lncRNA from 1 species